rnacentral:misc_RNA from 1 species
AAGAGUUGCAAAACUCCCUUAAACCAUCGUGAACGUACCUCUGAACAGUUGCUUCGGCAGGCCGGCCCCCCCCGGGGUGCCGCCAAAGGCCUGCCGAAGGUACCCAAACCAUUGUUUUUACAGGCCUCUCUGAGUAUCGUACUUAAUAAGUCA